rnacentral:antisense_RNA from 1 species
CUGAAAAAUAAAAUGAAGAGCGUGAAUUCAAAGAAGAUAAAUAUAUAGAUAAAUAUAAAAAUAUAAUAUAGGAGCUUAAUAAUUUGAAAGAUUUGGGAAGAUCUAGAAGAUGUUGUUGAAUUCUGAUAACACAUUUAUUAGUUAUUUGUACCCAAAAGUAGAGAGCUGGAAGAGAAUAAAGUCAGACUUAUUUAGGUAUUACAAUAAAGAGUGGUUCAAAAUGGAUAGAUUUAUAAACCCUUUUGGACAAAAAACUAAAAAUAAUGACCUAAAGAGAAAAGAGUUGGAUUUAGUAUAAAAAGUGGUGUAGAUAGAUUUUCAAAUUCACAUAAAGGAAACAUGUGGUUGUGGGGGCAUAAAAGAAAUCUUAGUUCAUAAAAUUGCAUGCAAACAAGAUUAUUGAUAUAAAAACAGCUGCGAUAAUUAGGGAAAGGGGUAAGAAAAAGUUAAAGUUGACAUAACAAAGGUGUUUAUAUUUGUCUUGCAUUUUUAAAAUGUUAGCUAUAAAAGUAUUUAAGGUAAUCAUAGAAAUUAAUUAAUCAUGAUUGAGUAUCUAAGUGAGCUUUUGGAAAUUUUUUUAAGCUCGUUGAUUAGCUUAUCUUUAUCGGAUGAAAACUGAUACAAAGUUUUUAGAUUCUUAAAGUUGGUAGCAAAAAGUUGCUGGGAAUUGAAAAAGAAGUUGUUUUGGUUGUAGAUCUGGUUCUCAAGAAUGGAUACAGAAUUGGGAAGCUUACUUGAAUAAAAUGAAGCAACAGAAAGAUUGUUGAAGGAAGUACUGCAUGGAAGUAAGUAUUCUUUGUUAAAGUUAAUAGCAAGUUCUUUAUACAAGGCAGCUGAAGUAUUGAAAUUAAGGGAGGCAGUAACUGGAUCAUCCUGAGCCAUAUUUAAUAGUCCAAGAGUAAAUCUAUAGUGAGCAAUAUUAAAAUUUGUAUUAUGCUUUGGGUGUUGGAGGCGUUCCUCAAUAGUAUUUAGAGUAGAGUGAACCAAAGGAAAGUUCCCAUAUUGGAGGGAUAUUCUAGCAAUCAAAGAAUACAAAGAUAUAUCAUCUGGAAAGUGUUUCUGCAUUGAAUCAUUCAAAAUUUGUAUAGCCUCAUUAUAGUAGUCUCUGAGGGUUAAAGCCUCAACAAGGAUGAAAAGAACUACUUUAUAUUUGAGAAGCCAUUUAUUUGUGACUUGCUUAUCAAAAUCUUUGAAAAGUUCUAAAAUGUAAUCAAUUUCAUUAAUGAUCACAUACAAUUCAUCAAUUGCUUGGUCAAAAAAUACAAAGUAGUCCUCAAUCUUAAUAUUCUCACUCAGAUCUUUGCCAUGUUUAUUUUCAGGCAAGAAUACUGAAGCAUUUGGAAUAUGAUAAGUUUUGUACAUAGCUAACUUCCAGAAGAUUAUUUGUAUCCUAAAAAAGUAGUAAAUGUCAAUUAGUUUUAGGAAAUGCUUUCGUGAUCUUAAUUCG